AUUGAGCGCUGGCGGCAUGCCUUACACAUGCAAGUCGAACGGUAACAGGUCUUCGGAUGCUGACGAGUGGCGAACGGGUGAGUAAUGCAUCGGAACGUGCCCAGUAGUGGGGGAUAGCCCGGCGAAAGCCGGAUUAAUACCGCAUACGACCUGAGGGUGAAAGGGGGGGAUCGCAAGACCUCUUGCUAUUGGAGCGGCAGAUGUCAGAUUAGCUAGUUGGUGGGGUAAAGGCCUACCAAGGCAACGAUCUGUAGUUGGUCUGAGAGGACGACCAGCCACACUGGGACUGAGACACGGCCCAGACUCCUACGGGAGGCAGCAGUGGGGAAUUUUGGACAAUGGGCGCAAGCCUGAUCCAGCAAUGCCGCGUGCAGGAAGAAGGCCUUCGGGUUGUAAACUGCUUUUGUCAGGGAAGAAAUCUUCUGGGCUAAUACCCUGGGAGGAUGACGGUACCUGAAGAAUAAGCACCGGCUAACUACGUGCCAGCCGCCGCUGUAAAAC
rnacentral:rRNA from 1 species